GACGAACGCUGGCGGCGUGCCUAAUACAUGCAAGUCGAGCGGACUAAUGGGAGCUUGCUCCCGUUAGUUAGCGGCGGACGGGUGAGUAACACGUGGGCAACCUACCUGUAAGACUGGGAUAACUUCGGGAAACCGGAGCUAAUACCGGAUGACAUAAAGGAACUCCUGUUCCUUUAUUGAAAGAUGGUUCUGCCAUCACUUACAGAUGGACCCGCGGCGCAUUAGCUAGUUGGUGAGGUAACGGCUCACCAAGGCAACGAUGCGUAGCCGACCUGAGAGGGUGAUCGGCCACACUGGGACUGAGACACGGCCCAGACUCCUACGAGAGGCAGCAGUAGGGAAUCUUCCGCAAUGGACGAAAGUCUGACGGAGCAACGCCGCGUGAGCGAAGAAGGCCUUCGGGUCGUAAAGCUCUGUUGUUAGGGAAGAACAAGUACGAGAGUAACUGCUCGUACCUUGACGGUACCUAACCAGAAAGCCACGGCUAACUACGUGCCAGCAGCCGCCGUAACAC
rnacentral:rRNA from 1 species